AUGAGAUCAGGCUCCCAUUGGGGCCUGUCAACAUGGUGUCGAUGGCUGCUGUCCUCUCCAGGGUGCCCUUCCCUAUCUCCCACCAGUGACCCUGGCCUACAGCAGGCCUUGGGAAGGUACAGGUACCAAUCCCAGGACUAUGGGGCAGACUCAGGAGGCAGCACAUAGGGGACAUUCUCAGACUUGGGGCAGCAUCACUGGCUCUCAGGGAGGUGUCCUGUGAGGAAGAGGAAUGAGCUUUCAGUGCCUGGACGUUGUGACAGUUCUUUGGGCCAUUCAAAGACCUUGUGGCCUAUUUCUUGGCCCCUAAAACAUCCUAAAGAGGUA
rnacentral:lncRNA from 1 species